CGACUGCAGACCGCAGAUUAACUAUCAGUGAUUUUAGGUUAAGUCUCAUUAAUACAUGUUUGUACACAGUGCUUGGCCGGGACUCGCAACAUCUCCGAGUUCAGGGCCGGGCUUGUUCGGCGCACACAACUGCAGACAAUCUUUAUACGUGAAUUAUACGGGUGAUGCCGGAGGGUGGGAGGACCGAAAUGAAUUAUCGUAUCAUUUGCUAGCUGAGGCCGCCAAGGAGUGCGGCCUUACAACUAGCUUUACUUGAGGCCAUUUGCUGGACAAACGACUGAAGGAUUGGGCCUAGAUCGCGCCUGCUGCUCACAAUGACACUCCUUUACACCGAGGCGGCCAAACGCAGACUGGGUGGGUUGCCUGUCGUUUGCAGAUGUGAUGGAGGCGAUUUUAAUCCGCCGAACGCUUCUCUCAUCUCAGCAACACAUACAUAAUGCUGGCGGAGCUCAGCAGGCUGGGCAGCAGCUAUGCAAUCGACGGUUCGGGCCAAGACCCUUCGGCAUCCUGGGAAGAUUUAAACUUCUUCAGGUGAUGAAUUGGGAUGGUUUCAACAGAGUCUUCCAGCUGUUCCCAAAGAUGCUGCGCCUGGACAAAAACAGCUCCAGUUGAAGUUAGGGAUGGAAUCAGAUGUACAUCAGCUCUGGC